GGGAGAAUCCUGAAUUCGAAAGGGGUCGGAUUCCACUGCAUCCGGUAUGUCCAGGCCACCCACCGCCAGAUGGCGUCGGUCGCCCGCGGCGAUUCACUUCGCCUGCGGGGUCGCAUUCGGCGUUCACUCGGCGUGUGCGGUGUAUCGCUCUGGAGCUCGGAGCGGCGCACUUCCUCCCUAGUAGAAACGUCGCGACCCGUUGGGUGCCGGUCAAAGGCCCGGGCAGGCAGCCCGUGCGUUCCGCGGCGGGUAAAACCGUCGCGGGCGCGCGGACGUCCGGUGACCCGGCCGGCCGCCCGACGGUAAGACAGAGGAGUCGAUCCGCUGAAUGAGAAGCACUUUGGUAUGUGAAGCGUCCGGCCCAACGCCGACGCGCGCGGGGUAAUUCCGGCUGGUUAGGGUGUCCGUGCGGCGUCACGGCCCCGCCCCCGUCGCGCCGUCGGUCGUCUGGUGUCCUCGGACYGGAUCAGAACUCCCGUCUGCGACGCCCACCUUCGGAUGGUCUCCCG
rnacentral:rRNA from 1 species